rnacentral:rRNA from 2 species
GACCCGUCUUGAAACACGGACCAAGAAGUCUAUCUUGCGCGCAAGUCAAUGGGAGUAGCAAACCCAAAGGCGAAGAUAACACAACUGCAAAGUCGUUGCGGGAUUACGGGUGCACCACAGUCCGCGAGGACUGGCUAGCUGUGCCGCCCCUCCAUCCCCGGGUGUUUAGCAACGGAUCUGUAGUGCCGCGGACCCCCCGACAGGGGUGGGCAUUUGCAGAGCCAACGCGACAUACCGCGAGCGCGCAGGAUGUGACCCGAAAGAUGGUGAACUAUGCCUGAUCAGGUUGAAGUCAGGGGAAACCCUGAUGGAGGACCGAAGCAAUUCUGACGUGCAAAUCGAUUGUCAGAGUUGGGCAUAGGGGCGAAAGACCAAUCGAACCAUCUAGUAGCUGGUUCCUUCCGA